GUUUUCUACCGGGAUAGGCACGACUUGUGCAGAGUUCCAACGUGGACUUCGGAUAGGGUUUCUUUCUUGAAAUAAUGAUGUGCUCUCUGUUAGGUGAGUGGUCUUUUUGAAGGUACCACCUAUGAGCUGUCUGAUAUUGGAUAUGAUCAAAAACCGUUAGAGAUAAUUUUCUCCUCAUAUUUGUGGGGACCAAUUUGCUGAGUGGUAUGUAUAGUUUGUCUUUUAGCGAAGAGUAGGGCUACUGCGCUGAUUUUCAUUGAAAUCUUGCUACUGUAACAACUGGGUUUGGCUGUGGUAAGAAAUUGUAUAAGGAAAUUUUACUGUCAUGAAAUUCGAAUUUCAAACGGUAUGUGGUUUACAUUUUUCUCGACCCAAAACUAGCUUGGUGUCUUUCUGGUUUUAAACUUAUGUGAGGAUUUGAGACGCAAAUGACUUGGGUUUGUGUUCUUGGCCUGCUACUAAUGGAAUAACUCUACAAAUCCUUGUGAGACAUCUCUGACCUUGCUAAUAACUCAAACUAAAUGCCCCUGCUGAACUUCGGAUUUUGAUUUUGUUUGUUUAUUUCUCAAUAGAACUUGUUGAACAUAUUUUUGAAUGAAAGCUCUGAUAUGUGUUUUACUGAAUAUCACUUGACAUUACGUUAUGCCCUAUUAUGAUCAUUGGAACGCAAGAUGGCGUUAUGGUGUGGCUAGCAGCUGGGUGGAGUUUCAAAGUCAAGACUUCUGUAAGACACUUUCAUUCCUAUUUCCUUCUUAUCGUGAGAUUGCUGUGUUGAUCAAUUUUCAGGAUUGAAUGGCUUUUAUGAGGAUUGCAUUGUAUUAUUUGGAUGGAUUAUAGGAUGACUGCAUGACUUAGCUGCAUCACACGAUGAUAUGACUUGCGAAAGUCUUUUUUUAUUUAGCUUGCCAUGCUCCUGUUUAUGAGGUCCUGCAGGUCUGGCUGUUGUAUGCUGACGAUGCUUGGUGUAAUGUCUGGCUACUGUAAUGGUCCUACGUCAAUGUAGAGUGCAACAUUCUGUCUUGAUUGGCCAUAGGUCCAUCAUGUGUUGUGUAUUUUGGUACCAUGGUGCAGUACAUGUAAUAUAUUGCCCUCUCCAUUUGAGCUCAUAUGUAUUGGAUGGAUUUGAUGUUUGUAAGGAUUUUGUUAGCUUAGGAUUUUUCAUGUGAUUAGUCUCUUGAAAUGGUUGUAAAUUGUAUGAAUGUUUUAAAGAAUAUAGAUGGAUUCACAAUGUUGAAUUUCAAAUUGAUUA